rnacentral:rRNA from 1 species
AGGGUGUAAACGCUGCAGACUUGGUGUUGGAAGCCCUUUGGGGGCAUUCAGUGCCGGAGAGAAGUUGUUAAGUCUGCUACUUGGGGAGUACGUCCGCAAGGAUGAAACUUAAAGGAAUUGGCGGGGGGAGGCACCGCAACGGGAGGAGCGUGCGGUUUAAUUGGAUUCAACACCGUAAAACUCACCAGGGAAGACUGUUACAUGAAGGCCGAGAUGAAGACUCUGCCAGAUUUUUCAGAGAGGAGGUGCAUGGCGUCAGUGACU